UACGGAGGAUGCGAGCGUUAUCCGGAUUUAUUGGGUUUAAAGGGUGCGUAGGCGGACUCUUAAGUCAGCGGUGAAAGUUUGCGGCUCAACCGUAAAAUUGCCGUUGAAACUGGGAGCCUUGAGUGUAGAUGAAGUAGGCGGAAUUCGUGGUGUAGCGGUGAAAUGCAUAGAUAUCACGAGGAACUCCAGUGGCGAAGGCGGUCGACUAGCCUAUCACUGACGUUUAGGCACGAAAGCGUAGGGAGCAAAUAGG
rnacentral:rRNA from 1 species